UACGAAGGGGGCGAGCGUUGUUCGGAUUUACUGGGCGUAAAGGGCGCGCAGGCGGCCAUUCAAGUCAGGCGUGAAAGCCCCGGGCUUAACCUGGGAGGUGCGUCUGGGACUGGGUGGCUAGAGAUCGGAAGAGGAGAGUGGAAUUCCCGGUGUAGCGGUGAAAUGCGCAGAUAUCGGGAAGAACACCCGUGGCGAAGGCGGCUCUCUGGGACGGUACUGACGCUGAGACGCGAAAGCGUGGGGAGCGAACAGG
rnacentral:rRNA from 1 species